rnacentral:tRNA from 2 species
GGCACUGUGGCGGAGUGGUUAACGCGCUGGCCUGCUAUACUCUCGCAGAGAGCAAGCUGAAAAGCCAGUUCCUUCGGGAGCGAGAGUUCGAAUCUCUCCGGUGUCG